UGCCAGCCGCCGCGGUAACACGAACCGUACGAACGUUAUUCGGAAUCACUGGGCUUAAAGAGUGCGUAGGCGGCGUGGCAAGUUGGGUGUGAAAGCCCUCGGCUCAACCGAGGAAUUGCGCCCAAAACUGCUAUGCUUGAGGGAGAUAGAGGUGAGCGGAACUGAUGGUGGAGCGGUGAAAUGCGUUGAUAUCAUCAGGAACACCAGUGGCGAAGGCGGCUCACUGGGUCUCUUCUGACGCUGAGGCACGAAAGCUAGGGGAGCGAACGGGAUUAGAUA
rnacentral:rRNA from 1 species